ACUGGGGACUACAUUUCAACAUGAGAUUUGGAGGGGACAGACAUCCAAACCAUAUCCCAUGGCGACACAAGAUGUACAGAGAGCAGAUGAACCUUACCUCCCUGGACCCCCCACUGCAGCUCCGACUCGAGGCCAGCUGGGUCCAGUUCCACCUGGGUAUUAACCGCCAUGGGCUCUACUCCCGGUCCAGUCCUGUUGUCAGCAAACUUCUGCAAGAUAUGAGGCACUUUCCCACCAUCAGUGCUGAUUACAGUCAAGAUGAGAAAGCCUUGCUGGGAGCAUGUGACUGCACCCAGAUUGUGAAACCCAGUGGGGUCCACCUCAAGCUGGUGCUGAGGUUCUCGGAUUUCGGGAAGGCCAUGUUCAAACCCAUGAGCAGCGAGAUGAGGAGACACCAGUGGACUUCUUCUACUUCAUUGACUUUCAGAGACACAAUGCUGAGAUCGCAGCUUUCCAUCUGGACAGGAUUCUGGACUUCCGACGGGUGCCGCCAACAGUGGGGAGGAUAGUAAAUGUCACCAAGGAAAUCCUAGAGGUCACCAAGAAUGAAAUCCUGCAGAGUGUUUUCUUUGUCUCUCCAGCGAGCAACGUGUGCUUCUUCGCCAAGUGUCCAUACAUGUGCAAGACGGAGUAUGCUGUCUGUGGCAACCCACACCUGCUGGAGGGUUCCCUCUCUGCCUUCCUGCCGUCCCUCAACCUGGCCCCCAGGCUGUCUGUGCCCAACCCCUGGAUCCGCUCCUACACACUGGCAGGAAAAGAGGACCCCAGGACUUCUUCUCCCCCUCAGGUGGGAGGUCAAUCCCCUUUACUGUGACACAGUGAAACAGAUCUACCCGUACAACAGCAGCCAGCGGCUCCUCAAUGUCAUCGACAUGGCCAUCUUCGACUUCUUGAUAGGGAAUAUGGACCGGCACCAUUAUGAGAUGUUCACCAAGUUCGGGGAUGAUGGGUUCCUUAUUCACCUUGACAAUGCCAGAGGGUUUGGACGACACUCCCAUGAUGAAAUCUCCAUCCUCUCGCCUCUCUCCCAGUGCUGCAUGAUAAAAAAGAAGACACUUUUGCACCUGCAGCUGCUGGCCCAAGCCGACUACAGACUCAGCGAUGUGAUGCGAGAAUCACUGCUGGAAGACCAGCUCAGCCCUGUCCUCACUGAACCCCACCUCCUUGCCCUGGAUCGAAGGCUCCAAACCAUCCUAAGGACAGUGGAGGGGUGCAUAGUGGCCCAUGGACAGCAGAGUGUCAUAGUCGACGGCCCAGUGGAACAAUCGGCCCCAGACUCUGGCCAGGCUAACUUGACUAGCUAAGGGCUGGAAGAGUCCAGUUUCAGAAAAUACGCCUGGAACCAGAGCAGUGGACUCGAGUGCCGACCCUGCGUCCUCACCUCCACCUGUUAAUGCUGGGAGUCAAGUCAGCUAGGAAGGAAGCAGGUCAUUUUCUCAAACAGCAAGUGGGGCCCACGGAACUGGAUCUUUACUCCUUGGUGCAUCGCUUCUGUCGUGCAUUGCCUUGCUCCGUUUUUCCCAAAAAGCACUGGCUUCAUCAAGGCCACCGAUGAUCUCCUGAGUGCACUGGGAAAUCUGGGUAUAGGUCAGGCUUGGCAGCCUUGAUCCCAGGAGAGUACUAAUGCUAACAAGUCAAAUAAAAGGACAUCAAGUGGAUACCUGACUUCUCCGGAUCCUUAUUCUAUCUACAAGUCAAAGAUAACUCCUGGUCCAGACAAAACACCUGGCCUAUCAUAAGCUGACUAAAAAUCUGCACUUUGGGCCAGCGCAGGCAACAGUAACUCUGACAGGUUCAAAUUAGACCUCACACUUUCUACUCAUAUUCUAGUCACUGGCCCCAUCUGAAUCAGUAAUCCCUACUGCCUGGUCCUGGAGUAACUUCUUAGAGAUAUUAUUACAAGUGGCAAAAAUAAAAGAGGGAUUUGCUAAGAAUAUCAGAAAAGGAGUGUUCCAAUUUGAAGAGUAUUACAAUUGAAAUAACAUCAAAUAUGUCACACUAAGCAGCCAGUAACAAAAUAAAUAAUUACAAUGAAGGAAAAAAAAGGAAAGUCCUCCAAGGUCAGGAUGGCAUGGGAACAGGCCUAGCAGGGACACAAGCCUGGAGUAAGGCAGGAAAAGAGCCAAGGCUGACCACAGCCCACCAACCACAAUCUUCUUCCCUAAGACCCCAGGAUUGUCCCCGGCCCAUCCCCAAAAGAAGAAAGGGGCUAUGUGGAAAGGUGAGGCCCUCUAGAUGCCCCUCCCUGUGACGGCUGGCUCAAAAAAGACUAAGUCAGGUUUUUUAUUGAAGCCUCCCUUAGAAGAAAGUGUAGUAGGGAUUCCUUGUCUCCUCUACCUUCUCCCUACUGACUUGCUGAUAUCUGAAACUCCUUUUAAUAGGAGGCUUUGUUUCUUAUUCCAUAAUUAAUAACCGAAAACACAAAGGACAGUAAGGUCUUCAUUCCAUAGAGUGACUAGUCAGUCAACAGAAGUAAAAAUGCCUCAUUUCAUCAAAUCAACUUUUCCAGUAAAGGCCAGAGUUCAAAUACUGUAAGCAUGAGAGUAGAAUGGAGCUGUCACUAAAGAGAGUACAAGGUCAAGAACCAGAAAUGUCUCCAAGCUUUCUGCAGUGUGAGCAAAGAUAGCCUCAACUGGACAAAUAACACUUCUGACCCCGUGGUACCCCCACAUGACUGGUAUGCUGCCCCUGGACUUUGUGUCUCUCUAAAAUCACUACCAUUCACUGAGAUCUGACCAGGUGAGGCACUCACCAACGCUACAGAAGCAACACACAGGUUUCCAAUCCUCUCAAACACAGAUACAACCCCCAUCUUCCAAUGUGCACGGAAGAACUUUAAGGCUCAGAGAGAGUAAGCAAAAUCACACAAUUUAGUGGUUUAGACCUAUUCCAAAGUCUUCUUUUCACUGUAACACAAAACCCAACAGUAUCCCACCCAAUUUAUGAAGUCAAAUUUGUUUGCUUAAAAAAAAAAAUCAGCUGGGCAUGGGCUCACACCUGUAAUCCCAGCACUUUGGGCCUAAGCAGGCAGAUCGCUUGGGCUCAGGAGCUCGAGACCAGCCUGGGUAACAUGACAAAACCCUGUCUCUACAAAAAAAUACAAAAAAAAAAAAAAAAUUUUUUUUUUAAAUCAACUCUUUAACAGAGAAACCUUAAUCCCAAAGAUUUCCUUCACUGUUGUGGCCCUACUGCAGCAUAGGGCUCCCCACUUCAUUCACAGUCUCUCCUGCUUCAAGUUGUUUCUUCCCUGUGGAUGAAGAACCAGGAGAUCACACACAGAAAUGGGAAAAUAUCUGGGUAAAAACGUUCAAAGAAUAGCACAAAAUGGUUUGGGACUUCCAAAUAAGACUCUCAGGAAAGUCGGCUACAGCUCUACCUCAAAACCCGCCACCUCCUAUAACGAAGGACCGGUUUUCCAAUGGCCUAUAUACACAUUUUGCUGCACUCUACAAACAGAAAGCAAUAGGCUUGAAUUUCACCAUGAUAUGUGGUACACCUACCUUAUUAUUCACUUAUCUUUCAACCUUCCAUUACUUUUUGAUUAGUAACAAAAUUAAGACUCAUUUCUCAAAAAUAUCAGAAAACCAACCAUUUCAUUCUUACUCGAGUUCUUCCAACGUGUUCAUUUUGAACUGUUUACGUCCCAUGAAAUAAAAAGUCUCGACUCUGAGAA
rnacentral:sRNA from 1 species